AGUUAUUUAGCUUAUAUAAAGCAUUUAUUUUGAAAAUAAAAAAAAGACUAAAUUUAAUAACUU
rnacentral:tRNA from 1 species